UUAUCAAGAAUGGGAAUAAAGUCGAUUUUAAGGAGAAUUGUUGCUAUGUUUACAACAGACAGAACACUUUAGUGGCUGUAGCAAAUCUGAUAGAUGGUGUCUACAAGAUGGUCAUAGAAAAGAAACAGUGUUUGUUUACAUCAAGCUCUUCAGCAGCAAGCAGUGAAAUGUGGCACAGGAGACUUGGACAUCUGAAUAUGAACGAUCUGAACAAGAUGAAAGAUGGAGCAGUGACAGGAAUAUCGUGCACUGAUAACUCCGUGAUCAACAAAAACUCGUGUACCGUGUGCUGUGAAGGAAAGCAGUCACGCUCACCAUUUGGACAUGUGGGAACGAGGAGCAGCGAGCCAUUGGAAGUUAUCCACGCUGAUGUCUGUGGCCCCAUGGAGGUUACUUCAAUUGGUGGAGCAAGUUUCAGUUGGGGAUAUUGUCCAAUCAGAGGUUCCAAGCAGUAGCAAUAACAUGGAUGAAGAAAAGUUGGAUGUCAUUAUGAGCCCUGUAGAUUUCACUGAAAAUGAGUCGCAUGAUGACACAGUAGGACCUUCAGAGUCUAAUGCUUUGACGACUGAUUUGGAUUCAACUUUGCAUCAAUCUCAAACAUCUGAAGAGGUGAAGGAAACAAUGUUACCAGAACCAGCAAUUACAGUAAUACCCAAACGAGUGAGAAGGCCACCAGAACGGUAUGGGUAUACUAACUAAUGCAAUGCCAGCUGAUGUUCUGACUUAAGCGUUAUGUUCCGUAAAACUUGUUUUUGUAAUUAUCGUUUAUUUGCUGUAGUUGGGGUGUUAGAAAGUAGUUUGAACACCAAAUAAACUAUAGACUCUAUAGAAUGUAUUGUCUAUGUGGAUUAUAAAAUAAAAGACACUCGAUCUUCGGCUUUCACAGAAA